rnacentral:lncRNA from 1 species
AUUUAAUAUAUAAUCAUAUCCAAGAUUGUAUUUUCGGAGCAUAUGAUUGUUUAAGGGUUUUUAAUUAUUUAUAGAAUGAUAGUUUUAAGCGCGCAUUUUAUUUGUAACAUAAAAAUUAAUUCUAAAUGCACCAUGUAGUGUUUGCUACAGGAAAAUUCAUAUCAAGCCCCCGAGUUUAACUUCCGGUAAACUGUCAAGCGAAAACUAUUUGUAAACAAGUUGUCAUCCCAAGCAGCUAGAUGAUCAGGAAAAGUUUCUCACAGAUUGAUGUAUGUAAAUUCAUACAAAAAAAUGAAAAAUGAGAACACAAUGAAAAGAAAUUUAGAAAGUUACGAAUCUGCUGUUGUUGAAAAAAAUGUAAAAAUCAACAGUGGAAAUCACAAAAGUUACUGUACGUCAUAAAGAAUUUAGAAAAUAUAUGACCCCUCAGGAAAAGUUAUUGUUGUAAUAUGACAUCGAAAGUUCAAACGGAACAUAUUUCUAAAUCAUAGUAGCAAAAUGGUGUAUUCUUCCUCAGCAUUAUUUGGAAAUGUAACACUUUAAGUCGUUUAAUAUUUACAAUUCUGAGAAUUAAUAUAUUUAUUGUGAAUUAUUUGUUAAACUUUUCACAAAACUUUGUUUACUCACUGUGAUACAAACUUGGUUUACUCGUUGUGAUACAAAUUUGGCAUUGCAUUUGUUUAAAUAAUUAAAUUUAACUGUCAAGAGUGGAGAAAUAUCGUAAUACACAAGUUAUAGUGUCAGAAUCUGUUUCUCUGAUGAUUUUAAUCAUUCUUUUUCAAAGAUUUCCAGAAACUUGUAUUCUUUAUAUGUGACGUCAUCAGGCAAGGUCGCCUUUUUUCAUGACGUCAAAAUAGGAAAAUUGAGAAGAAAGCAAAACAUUUUGAAGUCAUAAUCAAAUUUCGACUAAUCAUUUGCCGAGAACAGAUUUUUCACUAGUGAGGAGAAAUAUUUUUCUCACACUAGUCAGGAAAUGUGAAAAUAGAACAAACAUUAGAGAAACAAAUUUUGAUAACUCACUGUGAUACAUUUUUCAAAUUUUUUCCGUUAAAUGUUUUUUGGAAUUUUUGUUGAAAAUAUCAAACAUAAUUUGGUUUAAUGCUAUCUUUUUUCUCUUG